GAUGAACGCUGGCGGCGUGCCUAAUACAUGCAAGUCGAGCGAACGGACGAGAAGCUUGCUUUUCUGAUGUUAGCGGCGGACGGGUGAGUAACACGUGGAUAACCUACCUAUAAGACUGGGAUAACUUCGGGAAACCGGAGCUAAUACCGGAUAAUAUUUUGAACCGCAUGGUUCAAAAGUGAAAGACGGUCUUGCUGUCACUUAUAGAUGGAUCCGCGCUGCAUUAGCUAGUUGGUAAGGUAACGGCUUACCAAGGCAACGAUGCAUAGCCGACCUGCGAGGGUGAUCGGCCACACUGGAACUGAGACACGGUCCAGACUCCUACGGGAGGCAGCAGUAGGGAAUCUUCCGCAAUGGGCGAAAGCCUGACGGAGCAACGCCGCGUGAGUGAUGAAGGUCUUCGGAUCGUAAAACUCUGUUAUUAGGGAAGAACAUAUGUGUAAGUAACUGUGCACAUCUUGACGGUACCUAAUCAGAAAGCCACGGCUAACUACGUG
rnacentral:rRNA from 1 species